rnacentral:rRNA from 1 species
AUUGAACGCUGGCGGCAGGCCUAACACAUGCAAGUCGAGCGGAUGAAGGGAGCUUGCUCCUGGAUUCAGCGGCGGACGGGUGAGUAAUGCCUAGGAAUCUGCCUGGUAGUGGGGGAUAACGUCCGGAAACGGGCGCUAAUACCGCAUACGUCCUGAGGGAGAAAGUGGGGGAGCUUCGGACCUCACGCUAUCAGAUGAGCCUAGGUCGGAUUAGCUAGUUGGUGGGGUAAAGGCCUACCAAGGCGACGAUCCGUAACUGGUCUGAGAGGAUGAUCAGUCACACUGGAACUGAGACACGGUCCAGACUCCUACGGGAGGCAGCAGUGGGGAAUAUUGGACAAUGGGCGAAAGCCUGAUCCAGCCAUGCCGCGUGUGUGAAGAAGGUCUUCGGAUUGUAAAGCACUUUAAGUUGGGAGGAAGGGCAGUAAGUUAAUACCUUGCUGUUCUGACGUUACCAACAGAAUAAGCACCGGCUAACUUCGUG